GGUUUACUUAGCAUACCAGAAGAUGAAAUUGAUUUUCAGAAGAUGCCUUUCAAAGAUAUUAUUUUGCUUGCAGGGCACAAGGAGAGUUUAGCUACUAAAGAGGCAAAAGCUUCAAAGAAUGCCUCAACCAAUAAAAGCACUACCAAUUCUUUCCAUGGGAAGGAUUCUCAUAAUGAAGAGGAUAUUGGUAUUUCAGAGCAAUACGGAGGCUGCGUUGAUGAUCAAUCAAACUUCUUAUUCAAUUACCAUUCCUUCAUGGAUAAAACACCAACUGCAAGAUGGUCAAAACAAGACACAGAGUUGUUCUAUGAGGGAAUUCGGCAAUUUGGGACUGAUCUAUCAAUGAUACAACAACUUUUCCCUGGACGAACACGUCAUCAAAUAAAGUUGAAAUUUAAGAAGGAGGAGCGUCAACAUCCAUUAAGGCUUUCUGAAGCUCUGAAUAGUCGCGCUAAAGAUCAUUCGUAUUAUGAAAAAGUGAUUGAGCAGCUGCAACAAGUUGCUGCUCAGGCGGAGCAAGAGUCUAACAGAGGUAACUCAGUCAGUUUGACAGAUGAGGAGGCAGAGUUGAAUCCUGAAACUAAUGAAGAAGUGGCAAAAUCUGAUGAGCAAGAGAUGAUAUAUAUGCUAUUUACUAUUAUAUUUCUUCAUAUGGAGUACUAAAAUCACUCGGGG
rnacentral:misc_RNA from 1 species